GAGUUUGAUCGUGGCUCAGAACGAACGCUGGCGGCAGGCCUAACACAUGCAAGUCGAACGCACUCUUCGGAGUGAGUGGCAGACGGGUGAGUAACGCGUGGGAACCUUCCCAAUGGUGCGGAAUAGCCCAGGGAAACUUGGGGGUAAUACCGCAUACGCCCUACGGGGAAAGGAUUAUCGCCAUUGGAUGGGCCCGCGUCGGAUUAGCUUGUUGGUGAGGUAAUGGCUCACCAAGGCAACGAUCCGUAGCUGGUUUGAGAGAAUGACCAGCCACACUGGGACUGAGACACGGCCCAGACUCCUACGGGAGGCAGCAGUGGGGAAGUCUUGGACAAUGGGCGAAAGCCUGAUCCAGCCAUGCCGCGUGAGUGACGAAGGCCUUAGGGUUGUAAAGCUCUUUUGGCGGGACGAUAAUGACGGUACCCGCAGAAUAAGUCCCGGCUAACUUCGUGCCAGCAGCCGCAGUAAC
rnacentral:rRNA from 1 species